rnacentral:sRNA from 1 species
GAUUUGAGGCUACUGCUGCCAGGCUAGCUAUGUGGCUGGCCAGACCAAGGGCCAGUGUGACUGUGAAGCAGCAUCAUGAGAGGGGUAAAACCAAGGAACAGACUGCAUGAGCCCUUGGGCCCCUUCCAGCUCUAAUACUCCAUGGUGAUGGCAGCCCUGCCCUUCUCUGAAGAUCUCAAAAUGCCUGACACCUGUGUCCUUCCGCACUGCCCUGGGAAGGAGAAUAAGGAUGUCUUGAUAAACUGCUUGAUGCUGGUCUCUAUACUGGAGAAGUGACUGAAAUUGUAGGAGGCCCAGGUAGCGGCAAAACUCAGGUAUGUCUCUGUAUGGCAGCAAAUGUGGCCCAUGGCCUGCAGCAAAACGUCCUAUAUGUAGAUUCCAAUGGAGGGCUGACAGCUUCCCGCCUCCUCCAGCUGCUUCAGGCUAAAACCCAGGAUGAGGAGGAACAGGCAGAAGCUCUCCGGAGGAUCCAGGUGGUGCAUGCGUUUGACAUCUUCCAGAUGCUGGAUGUGCUGCAGGAGCUCCGAGGCACUGUGGCCCAGCAGAUGUGCAAUCUGGUGACUCCAACUAUGCUUGCUACUCCCAGGAUGGAAUUCCCGAGCACCUAAAUCACAUACCUCAUUGUUUACAUGUUCAUCUUCCCUGCUGAACAGUAAAGCCCCCUGAGUGGAAGGAUCAUGUCAUAUUUAUGUCUGCAU